rnacentral:tRNA from 1 species
GCCUUCAUUGUGUAAUGGUCAGAAUGCUCGACACGUAACCGGGAGGUCCGUGGUUCGAUUCCCGGUGAAGGCG